rnacentral:lncRNA from 1 species
UGGCGUCAGGCUCCGCGAGCGCCGUUUCCUGUUGUCAGUGGCGGAGAGGCCGCAGCGUCGGGUCGGAGGCUUAGAGGCUGCAGCGGCCAGGAGUGCCCCCCGCCCGGUCCCCGCUCCCUCUGCCAGGUGCAGGAUCGGAUUCAGGCGGUAGAGACGAGGCUGUCACGGAUGGCGGGGAAGUCUCCAAGAACAGGAGGUUGCUGUUUACUGAUGAAUGGAGUGUUUCGAAAGCGGUGAAGCCAGGUCAUCCAUUUCUUCUUUUAAUGUGUCAUGUGAUUCUCCGAGGGAGCUGCUGUGUGCGUGGAAAUGCUCUCAGUGGUGGAGAAUGGACUGGACCCCCGGGCUGCCAUCCCGG